AUUCACCCAGUUUCGAACGUUACGGUCCCAAAGAACGUCUGGAGGGCGACCAUGCAAACAGGCCAACAGUUCCACUGCGAUGGCAAGAGCGCUGUUGGGUGCUUUUGAUGUUGACAUGUUGCUGAAUAGCAACCUGAGAGAUGGCAAAACCCUAAGGGGAGAAGAUGGGGAGAGAAAAGACAGAUUGGAUCCUGAAAAAGUGACCGCAAUAACUGAUGCUGUCAUGAAUCACUUCCCGGGUGCAACAAAGGGACAAGUGGGAACAGUUUACAACAGUAAAAUGGCUGAAUUGAGAAGCGAUGAUGGAAAAAAAUUAUGAAUAGGAUUAAAUUCAGUUUUUAGUGUUUUGUGUUGUUUGUUCUAAUGUUUUAUUACCAUGACUACAAGUAUCACUGAAAUAAUGCUGCCGUAACAUAUAUGUUAACACAUAUUGUUAACAUGUAUUGUGACAUAUAAGGGACAUGUACAG